UCCCUGGUGAUCCAGUGGCUAAGACUCUGCACUCCCAAUGCGGAGGGCCUGGGUUCAAUCCCUGGUCAGGGAA
rfam:TPA: Bos taurus chromosome 25, whole genome shotgun sequence.